rnacentral:rRNA from 1 species
GGAUAGCCCGAUGAAAGUUGGAUUAAUACCGCAUAUAGCUAUAUAGUUGCAUGAUUAUGUAGUGAAAGAUUUAUUGGUAUAGGAGGAGUCUGCGGCACAUUAGCUAGUAGGUGAGGUAAAGGCUUACCUAGGCGACGAUGUGUAGCCGGUCUGAGAGGAUGAACGGCCACAAUGGAACUGAGACACGGUCCAUACUCCUACGGGAGGCAGCAGUGGGGAAUAUUGCACAAUGGGGGAAACCCUGAUGCAGCAACGCCGCGUGAGUGAAGAAGGUUUUCGGAUUGUAAAGCUCUGUUAGCAGGGAAGAGGAAGGACGGUACCUGCAGAGGAAGCCACGGCUAACUACGUGCCAGCAGCCGCGGUAAUACGUAGGUGGCAAGCGUUGUUCGGAAUAACUGGGCGUAAAGGAUGCGUAGGCGGUUAAACAAGUUAUAUGUUAAAUAUAUAGGCUUAACCUGUAGAAAGCAUAUAAAACUGUUUAACUAGAGUGCAGGAGAGGUAAGUGGAAUUCCUAGUGUAGCGGUGAAAUGCGUAGAGAUUAGGAAGAACACCAGUGGCGAAGGCGACUUACUGGACUGUAACUGACGCUGAGGCAUGAGAGCAUGGGGAGCAAACAGGAUUAGAUACCCUGGUAGUCCAUGCUGUAAACGAUGGGUACUAGGUGUGGGUUGUGAAUA